rnacentral:rRNA from 4 species
AACCCUAAGGCGCAAUGAAAGUGAAGGUCAGGCAUCGCACUGACUGAGGCAGGAUCCGUCCGGGUGAGCGAAGCUCUUCUUCCCUUCGCGGGUUCGUCCCGCGGGGGAGCUCGGCGGCGCACUGCCAGCCCAUCUCGGCCGCUUCCCGUCGGCGAGGUGGAGCCAGAGCGCACACGUUGGGACCCGAAAGAUGGUGAACUAUGCUCGGGCAGGACGAAGCCAGAGGAAACUCUGGUGGAGGUCCGUAGCGAUUCUGACGUGCAAAUCGAUCGUCGGACCCGAGUAUAGGGGCGAAAGACUAAUCGAACCGUCU